AAGCGAGGGGGGGGGGGGGGGGCGGGGGGAAGCUUUGCCACUAAGUUCUAGGGGUGAAACCGGCCAGAGGUCAGGAACCCAAUGGGGCAGCGUGGGAUUUGAAAACGCCUUUUAGGUCAGAAGGCAAGUCUCCCACCAAGAGUGUGGUCUUCACCAGGGUAUCGCUUUCCCUCGGGUUGCUGCCCAGACCAUGGCAGGAAGCUCCUGUACGAUCCAUUACCAGGAGUCACACCAGCGGCAGGCACAUAGGGACAGCGCAGAACCCGCAGCGGCCCCUCCAGCCCGCGGGCGGGGUUAUAUCAAGGCCACGCCUUCAUAGUCUCCAAUUUCCAGAAGCCAGUACAUCUUUCAUACGAAGCACCGUGAAACCGUGAGGGUAUGGAACUGCCUAGGGCAGUGAUUCUCAACCUUCCUAAAGCCGCGACCCUUUAAUACAGUUCCUCAUGUUGUGGUGACCCUCAAUUUCAUUGUUACAAAUUGAACAUAAUGAAAGCAUAGUGAUUAAUCACAAAAACAAUAUGUAAUUCUAUAUGUGUUUUCCGAUGGUCUUAGGUGACCCCCAAAGGGGUCGCGACCCACAGGUUGAGAACCGCUGGAAAAUGAGACCCUUCUGACCUAAGGACAUAGCUUCUCUUUACUUAUUUAAAUGUAAGGGAGAUGAAUGCACCUGGACACCAGGGACCUUAAGUCAAUGAACGGAGGUGAAAAUACCGGGGACCUCCCAGAAUCUCGGAUUCUCUAAGUCUAGAAAUUCUCCGGGCUGUGGGACAUCUGGAACUCUCCCAGUGCCGAUGCCGAUAACUUGGGUUUCUCCCAGGCUUCUACCCAAAGACAUUCCUAAAAUAUCUAGAUGCCUGUGUGGUCAGUUUCAGGCACGGGAUAAGGGUGCAGCGCUCGGCCUCUCCCACAGGGGGCAGACCAUCCCAUUACUUGCUCCCCCUGGGGGCAGCUUUCACAGCCACGGCUAGGGGAGAAGGUGGCGCUAGAGCAUCCUGCCCAGCAACUGGGACCUGUGACCUCCACCUCACCCCGCCUCCCCCAGACUCCCGGUGUCAGGAGCUGGCAGACGCCGGGGUUGGGGUGGGGGAGGGGGUGGGGCCCACCACAAGGAAGAUGGAAGAAGGUCCUUCCACUCUGCUUUAAGGGAGAAUCAAGCCAAGGAGGUGUUGAGCGUGACUAGACCUUGUGCAGUUUUAAAUAUUCUGCUCCUAAAUGCUGCCUCCUGCUCUCCACGAGGAAUGAUUUGCUAUGAAUUCCCCAUAAGACAUUCUUUUCAAGUUAUCUUUAUUAACGUGCACUGUGGACCUGACUGGAGCUUAAGUUGCUAUUUUUUGGAGAGCUCUCCGUUGCAGUAAUACAGUUGGAUCUGUCCCUUCUGAGUGAAGGGAUGGAUCUGCCGGGACAAGUGCCACAGGAGUCACAGUCUAGGAUGGGGAGGGGAGGGCACGACCUUUUUGCCUUAUUCCAAGGCUGGCUUUUUGCUAGCACUGGGGGAACUAGCUCUGAAAACGAAAUCAGGAAGUCAUCUUUUAUUUAAAAACAAGAGAAAGCACAAACAAACCUUUUCCCCAAAAAAGCUCUGUACAGAUGCAAAGAGUGUUCAGGACACCGCUCCCAACAGUAUAAGGAAUUAGAAACGCUAAAGGGUAUUGUCUGAGACUGCAUCCCCAGGGCCUGGAAAUCUGCAUUGUAAUAGUCUGGGAAACUCAGAAUCUCCCUUUUCCCUUCCCCUCACUACCGACAAAAGAAACAUCUGCUCUCCAGCCCAGCGACCUCUGUUCCUCCCACCUAGAAUGCCCCCACCCCAGUAUCAGUAAAGUCCUUAGGAUCCAUGUAUCCAGCAGGCAAGGUGUCCCUCCCAGGGUGCGCACCAUGUGUACCAUAUGGCGAUCCAUACGUGAUUAAUGCGAACACUCCCUUCCCCAGCUCCUUCUCCCACACUAAAACCACGAAGAGUUCUGUUGCCUGGACAGCCAAGACCAGACCACCCAGGCCUGGGGAUGAGCAGAGGCCUGGGUUGAGAGAGCUAAAGGAAACUGAAGAUCAAGAGACAACCGUGGGGACAGGGAAUAACAGCUAGUUCCACCCUAACCCCGAAGGCCUCUCUGGAUCUUAACAAUUUACAGUCUCAUGAAUUCAGUUCUUGGCACCGUUCACAAUAAGAGGCACACACCUCUGAAAAGCUUAAAGAGCCUUUGAAAGUGAUGCUGCCCAAUUGCCACAUAAGAGGGGUGGGGCGGAAUUAGACAAGGGGGCGAACCUGGAUAUUCUGUUCUGACUCAGAAAACUGAGCAGGUUUGGGCAUCUGAAAGGUGUGUGAAUCGAGGGAACUCAGUAUAGAUAUAGUAUAUACCUACUACAUGCCAUAUUUCUGUUAAUUAUCAUCUAUAAACCAAAGCAUACUUUCAUUACCAAAUGCCUUCCUAUUAAAACACCUGCUUAGAGCUGACUUACACAUACACACACACACACACACACACACACACACACACUCCCUAGACUAAAUUUAAGAAAAUAAGGUUCAGAGAAACUUUCCACCACUUUUAAGCAUUCAAGUGUGAUCCAUUCAAACCCUAGGCACACCUGUCAGAUCAUGUAAAAAAAAAAAAAAAGUCCAGUCAUUGUCAGAAAUAUAUAUAGGUUGUCAAAAUGACAUAUACAAACAUUUGUAUUGAAGUCUGGCCCCAGACCUAAAUGUUCACCUGUUUAGAUAGAUGCACCGGCUUGACACAAGGCAAAGUGCACCUUUCUGGAGGUGGGUGGGUGUGAUUACCUCAGCACGUAAUCGAUACUCACUCUUGGAACGAUGGGCACCUGUGCACACGACGUCCCCACUCUCUGGACAGGCAGGAGGCCACGGGAAGCCCUGAUGGCAGUGACAGCGAUGACAGCGACCGCGGGCCUUGUGCCAGCCAGAGUGGGGACCAUGGCUUCUGCCCUGGCCAAAAAACAGACCCAGCCUCUAGGCACGGACCAAUCAGGGCAUGUCCCCAGCACCCACAGCCAAUGGGGAUGCGCUGUGGCGGGCCAAUGAGGUGCGGGCAGCGGAAGAAACAAUGUAACUUGGGGGUCCCAAGGCACACAAGAAGGCGGGCUGGAUUGACCUUCUCACCUUGCCAGGUGGCGACUUCUUUUCAAGAGGAGCGAAUGGGACAGGAACGCGAAACCCAUGUCACCUCGGUACCCUCAUAGGGUCUGCAUGCGCCCGCAGAGGACUCCAUGAUGUGCCCCAAUGGAUGUUCCCCUCACCUGCCACUGAGCCCAGUGGCAGCAUCCCUCAAACGGGGCUGUGCCGCCUAUCUUAUAGGGUUAUCCAGAAGCUUAGAGAAGGCACCUGGAAUUACAGGCUCCUGGGCACAGGCUUUGGGUCUCAGGAGAAAAGAGGAAAACAUGUGGAUGUCAUGGAAACUGAGAGAUGCAUAAACAACGAUGGGACAGGGGAAGUAUAAAAGUAUAAAAGGCGAAAGAUUAUGUGAUCUGAAGAGAAAUCAGAGUAUAAUGAUGUUUUAAGUAUGGGAAGAAGAAAAGGGAAUGAAUAGUAAAAGGAGUUGCAUGAAAGAGACCUCUAAAAGCUGUCACCCUUUGGGACAGUAGGAAGCAGGUAUUCUUCCAGUUUAGGGGGAAAAAAUCAUUUCCCCUUCACUGUAGAAUAUACUCUUGCAUAUAGGGGUCUUUUUGCUUGAAGCCCAGCACCCCUAAGUAUGUCAUGAUGGUGAUGAUCCCACUACAUCAUUUCACACGAGGAGUAGCAGCCAGGCCAGGCGCCCCCUUGCUGCUCUCUGACCUGGGGCAAGUUGCUUCUCCCCAGAGCAGGGGUUAAGCAAAGGUCACAAGGUCUAGUCCAAGCAGUGUGCACUUGGGGCGGGGGGGAGGGGAGGGCAUGCAUUUGGAUUCUUAUCCAGGAUCCACCACGCAGUGACUUUAAGGACCAUAAAUGAGGCCACCUUACAGCAUGCACAUCGGGUACUUGGGAUAUGGGGGCACUCUUGACAUUCAGCUUCGGAUUUUGGUGGAACAUUAAAUUGUUGUUGGGCUGUCCGGUCUAAUUAGCAUAUUAUGCUUUUAUUAUGUAUAAAUAAACUGUCACCUAGAAAGCAUGUGGUAAGAGUCAGUUCUCCUCUCUUUUCAAGAUAAAUAUAAAAUUAUUUCACUCCAAAAUUCUGCCUAGGUCAAGGCUCUGUCCAUUCUGGCUCUCAGGUACCUUUGAUCCAGGGUCUCUGAGGACCCCCGAGGAACUGUUCUUGCCCCUCUCGCCACUCCCUGGUUUUUCUCUCCUGGCCCUGCUCCUCACCUCCCUCCACCAGUCCCCA